rnacentral:rRNA from 2 species
GCGUUCCAUUAGAUAGUAGGCGGGGUAACGGCCCACCUAGUCUUCGAUGGAUAGGGGUUCUGAGAGGAAGGUCCCCCACAUUGGAACUGAGACACGGUCCAAACUCCUACGGGAGGCAGCAGUGAGGAAUAUUGGUCAAUGGGCGAGAGCCUGAACCAGCCAAGUAGCGUGAAGGAUGACUGCCCUAUGGGUUGUAAACUUCUUUUAUAAAGGAAUAAAGUCGGGUAUGCAUACCCGUUUGCAUGUACUUUAUGAAUAAGGAUCGGCUAACUCCGUGCCAGCAGCCGCGGUAAUACGGAGGAUCCGAGCGUUAUCCGGAUUUAUUGGGUUUAAAGGGAGCGUAGAUGGAUGUUUAAGUCAGUUGUGAAAGUUUGCGGCUCAACCGUAAAAUUGCAGUUGAUACUGGAUAUCUUGAGUGCAGUUGAGGCAGGCGGAAUUCGUGGUGUAGCGGUGAAAUGCUUAGAUAUCACGAAGAACUCCGAUUGCGAAGGCAGCCUGCUAAGCUGCAACUGACAUUGAGGCUCGAAAGUGUGGGUAUCAAACAGGAUUAGAUACCCUGGUAGUCCACACGGUAAACGAUGAAUACUCGCUGUUUGCGAUAUACGGCAAGCGGCCAAGCGAAAGCGUUAAGUAUUCCACCUGGGGAGUACGCCGGCAACGGUGAAACUCAAAGGAAUUGACGGGGGCCCGCACAAGCGGAGGAACAUGUGGUUUAAUUCGAUGAUACGCGAGGAACCUUACCCGGGCUUAAAUUGCAGAUGAAUUACGGUGAAAGCCGUAAGCCGCAAGGCAUCUGUGAAGGUGCUGCAUGGUUGUCGUCAGCUCGUGCCGUGAGGUGUCGGCUUAAGUGCCAUAACGAGCGCAACCCUUGUUGUCAGUUACUAACAGGUUCCGCUGAGGACUCUGACAAGACUGCCAUCGUAAGAUGUGAGGAAGGUGGGGAUGACGUCAAAUCAGCACGGCCCUUACGUCCGGGGCUACACACGUGUUACAAUGGGGGGUACAGAGGGCCGCUACCACGCGAGUGGAUGCCAAUCCCAAAAACCUCUCUCAGUUCGGACUGGAGUCUGCAACCCGACUCCACGAAGCUGGAUUCGCUAGUAAUCGCGCAUCAGCCACGGCGCGGUGAAUACGUUCCCGGGCCUUGUACACACCGCCCGUCAAGCCAUGGGAGCCGGGGGUACCUGAAGUGCGUAACCGCGAGGAGCGCCCUAGGGUAAAACUGGUGACUGGGGCUAAGUCGUAACAAGGUAGCCGUACCGGAAGGUGCGGCUGGAACACCUCCUUU